AGUGAACGCUGGCGGUAGGCCUAACACAUGCAAGUCGAACGGCAGCACAGUAAGAGCUUGCUCUUACGGGUGGCGAGUGGCGGACGGGUGAGGAAUACAUCGGAAUCUACUUUUUCGUGGGGGAUAACGUAGGGAAACUUACGCUAAUACCGCAUACGACCUACGGGUGAAAGCAGGGGAUCUUCGGACCUUGCGCGAUUGAAUGAGCCGAUGUCGGAUUAGCUAGUUGGCGGGGUAAAGGCCCACCAAGGCGACGAUCCGUAGCUGGUCUGAGAGGAUGAUCAGCCACACUGGAACUGAGACACGGUCCAGACUCCUACGGGAGGCAGCAGGGGGGAAUAUUGGACAAGGGGCGCAAGCCUGAUCCAGCCAUACCGCGUGGGUGAAGAAGGCCUGCGGGUUGUAAAGCCCUUUUGUUGGGAAAGAAAAGCAGCAGGUUAAUACCCCGCUGUUCGGACGGUACCCAAAGAAUAAGCACCGGCUAACUUCGU
rnacentral:rRNA from 1 species